rnacentral:rRNA from 1 species
GAGUUUGAUCCUGGCUCAGGAUGAACGCUAGCGGCAGGCCUAACACAUGCAAGUCGAGGGGCAGCAUAUCGCUUCGGUGAUGAUGGCGACCGGCGCACGGGUGAGUAUCGCGUUUGUAACCUACCCUUAACUGGGGGAUAGCCCAGAGAAAUUUGGAUUAAUACCCCAUAAUAUUUAAGCACGGCAUCGUGCUUUCAUUAAAGCUUCGGCGGUUAAGGAUGGGCAUGCGUGACAUUAGUUUGUUGGUAAGGUAACGGCUUACCAAGACUACGAUGUCUAUGGGGUCUGAGAGGAUGAUCCCACACACUGGUACUGAGACACGGACCAGACUCCUACGGGAGGCAGCAGUGAGGAAUAUUGGUCAAUGGACGAAAGUCUGAACCAGCCAUGCCGCGUGCAGGAUGACGGCCCUAUGGGUUGUAAACUGCUUUUAUACAAGAAGAAAUCCUCCUACGUGUAGGGGGUUGACGGUAUUGUACGAAUAAGCAUCGGCUAACUCCGUGCCAGCAGCCGCGGUAAUACGGAGGAUGCAAGCGUUAUCCGGAUUCAUUGGGUUUAAAGGGUGCGUAGGCGGGGCAAUAAGUCAGUGGUGAAAUCCUGCAGCUUAACUGUAGAACUGCCAUUGAUACUGUUGUCCUUGAGUAUAGUUGAAGUGGGCGGAAUAUGUAAUGUAGCGGUGAAAUGCAUAGAUAUUACAUAGAACACCAAUUGCGAAGGCAGCUCACUAAGCUAUCACUGACGCUGA